rnacentral:rRNA from 1 species
AAAACUAGAAUUAUAUUAGUAAACAAAGCCAAAAAAAAAGAGGCAAUCCUUUGUUAAAGGUAGAAAUGAACUAUUCUGUUUUCAAAAGUUUGAUUCUUGCUUUAAUUUACAAGUUAAUUUUUUUUUGUAUAGGAUACUAAAAUAUUUUCUUUUAACCUAGUUAAAAAUAUUUUGUCAUAGGGUAACACCGGAAAAAGAGAAACUAAGUUUAGAAAAAUAGGUGCCAGCAACUGCGGUUAAACCUAAAAAAAAGUAAAUAAAUUUAAGUAAAGUAUAAUAAAACAUAAAGAAAAACCUAAAAGAGUAAAAUCUGAAAUAGAUUAAAAAUAUAAACAAAACUUUUAAAUUCAAGCAAAAAACAAGGAUUAGAUACCCUUCUAUUACGAACCUGAAUAACUUAAGAUAUUAAAGGAUAUAACCCUCAAACCUAAAGAAUUUGGCGGUCUUUGAUAAAAUAAGAGGAAUUUGUUUUAUAAUCGAUGGUCCCCGAAAAACCUCACCUUUAUUUAAUUGUGCCUGUAUACCGCCGUCUAAAAAUAUUACAAAAUAUAUUUUAAAUAAAUUAAUCUAAUGUGUCAGGUCAAGGUGCAGCUAAUAGUAAGGAAAAAAUGAAUUACAAUAUAAUCAUGUAUAGAAAAGGUAUUUAAAACACCUUACAAAAGAGGAUUUUAAAGUAAUAUAAAAUUUAGAAUGAUUAUAUGACUUUAAUAGUCAAAGAUGCACAUAUCGCCCGUCACUUUCUUAUAGAAAUAAGUCGUAACAUAGUAGAUCCAUCGGAAGAUGGAUCUUUAACUAA